rnacentral:rRNA from 1 species
UGGGGAAUCUUGCGCAAUGGGCGAAAGCCUGACGCAGCCAUGCCGCGUGGAUGAUGAAGGUCUUAGGAUUGUAAAAUCCUUUCACCGGGGACGAUAAUGACGGUACCCGGAGAAGAAGCCCCGGCUAACUUCGUG